rnacentral:snRNA from 1 species
GUCUAUUUAGAGACAAAGGGACAAAUUGGAAUAAUACAUAGAAUGUCAUGUCCCUUGCCCAAGGAUGACAAUCACAAAUCAAGAAUAACUUUUCAAAUUA